rnacentral:lncRNA from 1 species
AUCCUCUUUUUAUGUUUCCCUUUUACUAAUUAGUACUCUUUCAUUUCAUCUUAAAGAAAUCCCUUAUACUUCUCAUAAGGCUAGUCUAAUGGUGAUGAACUCUUUCAGUUUUUACUGAAAUGGAAAAUUGAGGCUUUCCUACCUGUAUGUAUUCCUGUAUGUAUUCUUCAAUGUAUUCUCUUAUUCAAACAAUGUGUAGUAGACACUCAAACAUAUGGGUUUAUUUCAGAGAUAAUUUCCCUAUGUACAGCUGUACAUUUAGUGUGAUCUUGAGAAAAGGGGAGCUCAGGAACCUCCUAUGUUACUGUCUUCCAAAAAUUCUUCUUUGCACCUGGCUGGUUCAGUUAGAAGAGCACAUGACUCUUGAUCUCGGAGUGUUUUUCUCUAGUUUGAAAGAGGAACAACAAUCUCAUUUCUCUCCAUCAAGGAGCCAACACUACAACCGUAGCUUGUUUGUACGUGAAUGGAGACCUGACUUUAGAAGACUUUUGAAUCAAACGUACCCUCAACAGUGAAAGGCGGCCCUUCAAUGUGGAUAGUAAAAUACUGCUUUAUUAUAGAAACAUAACCAUAAAUCUAAAGAUGAUAACCCGUUCGCAUAGCGUUAGUUAUAUUUUUUAACGUGGCUUCAAUAGAAUCAUUUUGACAACUACUAUAUAAAGCCUACAUAUGGAAUCUCUAAAUAACAGUUGAAUCACUGAUACAUUAAUAUUAGUAGUUUUACAUAUAUUUUUUAACAUUAGCACUUUUAAAAAUACUUUCUCAUGCUCUGACCUCUAUUAAUUUGAGGACACUUCUAUUCCUGUGGAAUACACUGGAGUACGAUUCCCAAUAAUUUGUUUAAAUUUCACAAAGAGUCCAAAGUUAUGACACAUGCACAGAGGCGAUUAUAACAAUAAUAAUUUAAAAAAACUAAACAAAACAAAACUGGGCGGCCCGGGUGGCUCCACGGUUUGGCCCUGCCUUCAGCCCAGGGCCUAAUCCUGGAGACCCAGGAUCGAGUCCCACGUCGGGCUUCCUGCGUGGAACCUGCUUCUCCCUCUGCCUGUGUCUCUGCCUCGCUCGCGCUCUCUCUCUCUCUGUCUCUAUGAAGAAGUAAAUAAAUUCUUAAAAAAAAAAAAAAACCCACAAAUAAACCAUUUUGGUGUGUGUUGACCUUUCUUCUUUCUUGAAGGAGGACCAAAUUCAGGAAACAAGAACAACAAAUAAAACAGGGCUACCAUACUCACCUUUAUUCAGGAGUUCAAAGUAUUUCUACCUUUACCGCUUGCCAUACAGUUAUUCAGGCUGGAAUCGAUGGAUGCGAAACUCCGAAGGUUUUGGGUUUCAGCUGUUAAACGAAUCAAGCAAGGUGGCCGUUGGACGGAUGUGGCUGCAAUGCCGUGGGGGCCUGCGGAGGCAACCGAAUGCUAAGCCUGUAAAAUGCCUCUCGCCCACCAAACCCCAAGGCUG